UUAGAGUAUGAUGAGUAAUCUCCCCUUUCCGUCGAUACUCCCUUAGUACUGCAAUAUACACAGUCGACUGGAAGAAAUCCUCGACCUCAGCAUACAUGAAGCCAUAGCAAGAAGCAGUGAAAGCCACAGCAGAGAUUGGAUGCAGCAAUAAUUUUUUCUAUGUCUCGGCGCCUCUAUGGAUGUCAUAUUUAGAUCAGAUGCAAUCUGAGCCUUGUUCUGAAUUUCAAAAUCCCCUUUGACAACACCUGCACAGCUGAGGUAGUGUAAACUUAAAAAUUGAGGACAACCAAAGAAUCACCAAGAAAAGAUGAUCAAUUCAACUAACAUAGAUGAAUGAACCACAUGCAUUAUGUCAGAGGAAUCUAGCUGGAGCACCUAUUUAGCAGCCAGGACACAUAGAUGUACCUGUACAGUUGAUACAGAUAAUCUCAACGGCACAUUUCUAAAUGAUGGCCAAAAAAAUCUAAUAAAGACACUGUCAGUUUAAAACUUUUUGAAAGAAAUCCAGACCAGAAACAAUGGAUAUCGAUUAUUAAGCUCCUCCAAACGUAAAAGGGGUUUUAUUGAAGCCAAGACCAGGAUACACCCAAUGAUAUUUAAUAUUACACCCCUUCAACAUAAAAUUUUGAAUUUUAGUUUGCCUAUCUAGUCAAGA